UACGUAGGGGCCGAGCGUUGUCCGGAGUUAUUGGGCGUAAAGCGCGCGCAGGCGGCGGUGUCAGCCCGGCGUGAAAGCCCCCGGCUUAACCGGGGAGGGUCGUUGGGGACGGCACCGCUUGAGGGCGGGAGAGGUCGGUGGAAUUCCCGGUGUAGUGGUGAAAUGCGUAGAGAUCGGGAGGAACACCUGUGGCGAAGGCGGCCGACUGGGCCGACCCUGACGCUGAGGCGCGAAGGCGUGGGGAGCGAACGGGAUUAGAAACCCCCGUAGUCC
rnacentral:rRNA from 1 species